UUAAUGGUUUCUUUGGAAACCACUAUAAUAAUGAAUGCAGCAGAAU
rfam:Ophiophagus hannah scaffold2507.1, whole genome shotgun sequence.